AUUGAACGCUGGCGGCAGGCCUAACACAUGCAAGUCGAACGGUAACAGGAAGAAGCUUGCUUCUUUGCUGACGAGUGGCGGACGGGUGGGUAAUGUCUGGGAAACUGCCUGAUGGAGGGGGAUAACUACUGGAAACGGUAGCUAAUACCGCAUAACGUCGCAAGACCAAAGAGGGGGACCUUCGGGCCUCUUGCCAUCGGAUGUGCCCAGAUGGGAUUAGCUUGUUGGUGGGGUAACGGCUCACCAAGGCGACGAUCCCUAGCUGGUCUGAGAGGAUGACCAGCCACACUGGAACUGAGACACGGUCCAGACUCCUACGGGAGGCAGCAGUGGGGAAUAUUGCACAAUGGGCGCAAGCCUGAUGCAGCCAUGCCGCGUGUAUGAAGAAGGCCUUCGGGUUGUAAAGUACUUUCAGCGGGGAGGAAGGGAGUAAAGUUAAUACCUUUGCUCAUUGACGUUACCCGCAGAAGAAGCACCGGCUAACUCCGUG
rnacentral:rRNA from 1 species